UACGUAGGGUGCGAGCGUUGUCCGGAAUUAUUGGGCGUAAAGAGCUCGUAGGCGGUUUGUCGCGUCUGCUGUGAAAACUCGGGGCUUAACCCCGGGCCUGCAGUGGGUACGGGCAGACUAGAGUGCGGUAGGGGAGACUGGAAUACUUGGUGUAGCAGUGAAAUGCGUAGAUAUCAAGUGGAACACCAGUGGCGAAGGCGAGUCUCUGGACAUUUCCUGACGCUGAGGCACGAAAGCCAGGGGAGCAAACGGG
rnacentral:rRNA from 1 species